rnacentral:lncRNA from 1 species
AGAUAGACUGCCUCUCCAUAUAGAACCAGGGCUAGAAAAAGAAGUAGGAAAAUAUCGUCACAAAAGCAUUGGCCUGAGAGACAGGACUUGAGUCCUAGUCCUGAUUCUGCCAUUAAUUUGCUUUGUAACUUAGGGCAAGUUACCUUCCCUCUCUGAGCCUUCACCUCCUCAUCUUGGAAAACAAAGGGCUGUUUCCUUCCAACCUUUAUAACCCAGUUGUAGUUCAAUAAAAGAAUGAUGGCUGGGAAAUGAGAACAGGAACAUCAAGGGAAAUGGGUCAGGGCCAAAGCCGACUGCCAUGCUGACCUCCAGCUUGAUGGGUGUUGAUUCCAUUAAUAAAAGGACUUUCUGAUAAUCAGGCUGUCUGGCAUAGGAUGAGUUGUCUCGGGGAGACAAUGAGUUCCCUGACACUAGAAGGAAAAUUAAGUGCUGUGAAAAGAUGUUACAGUGUCUGUAUUGGGAGAAGGUACAAUUCAGAAACCUUAAAGAUCUUUCUAGUUAUCUCUCUGGGAUUUGACAAAGGAAAAGAUGGAGGAAUCUUAGGAGGUGAUGUAGGUAAAGAUGCAUUGAGGGGCCCCUUGGAGCUUGGGACUCACUUGUGCAGUGACCAGAUGUAGCCUCCUGGGCCCCUGGAGGGGUGGGGCCUGUGAAGAGGCAUGAGCAGCCUGCGACCCCCUGUUUUCUCAGCCAUCGUUUCUCUUGUAUCCUUGCUCCAAGCACCCUCAGGCUUCUGCAUGAGAAUCAAGGCAGGCCUCUGAGAUGGGAAGCGAAGGCCCACCCUUUAGAUGAAAGAAGUCAGGAUGGCUGGGAGGGUAGAAACAUUAAGCAGGGCAGAGGGCAGGAAAUGUCCUGGAUGGAAUGUUACCACUGAGUGAGGCUUUAUGCACCUUCUGGCAGCCUCUUCCUUUGAAAGAUGAAGGAAUCAAGGUCCAGAGGGGGGAGAGGAAGUGACUUACUCAAGUCAUCCAGUAAGUGGUAAUACUGAAAAGAGAUACUAAUAAUGAUAAUUGAUAGUAUCAGUGAAUGUGCUAUUGAACUUGUCCUCUGUGUGAGACACUGCCAUUGAGGGCUUUACAGGGGUGAUUUUAUUUGAUCCACACAAUCAGUGCAUGAGGUCAGUAUCAUCCCCAACUUAUAGAUGAGAAAAGAGAAAACUAAGGCCCGCGGUGCUUAAGUAGCUUGCACACUACCCCACAGCUGGAAAGCAACAGAGCUAGGAUGUGGAUCAGGGCUGUCUGACUUCAGAGUCUGCAUCUGUGACAACUAUACUGUAAGGAAGCCCAAGAGACACAAGUUUAAAUUCCAACCCUGAAGCAAAACUCUGUAACUGGAAAGGCCCCUCUGGCAUUGGGUGGAGCCUGGAUCGAAGGGGCCACUGGAGGCCAACAGACCUUCAGGAACACGGAGUUUGCAUGGAAAGGGGCCGAGCCCUCCAGCUGCUCACAGCCCUGGGCUCUGCCCCUUCCUGCAGCCAGGCCCUUCCCCUGUGUGGCCCUUGCCCCUUCCCCACCCCUUGGGGUGGCAAGGAGGAACCCAAUCCCAGGGGUCCCCAAAGUCUGUCUUUGUUCUUUGUUCUCCCUUCUGUAGCCUUGCCUCUAUGAAGGGCUCCUCCUAUCCGCACCCAUUCCCACAGUGAGCUCAGCAUUCUUUUGUUCUUGUGAUGCUGAGGUUGGGUUCAUAUUUGAGAUUUUCACAUACCCGUAAGAGGAGUUUAAGAGAGAUGACAUGUGACUCUGACCAGGACGUCACAUAGGAGGCAUGGAAAACGACUCAGGCUCAUCAUCUUACUGCUCAGCAUUUUCUGGCCACUGCUGUAUCCCACCACUAUGAUAGAUGUCAUGCCAGGCUUGAGCCAAGGCCAAGAGAAACCACAGGAAGCCAGCAGAGCCUGGGGGAAAAUAGAAACUGGGUGGGGGCGAGGCAGGGCAAGGGGGGGGACUUUAGUUUAGCUCCAACUCCAAAGUACCAGGUUCUUAACCCCUAUCCUUUAGUACAUCCCUUAAAGCUAUAAUCUUUGGGAUCCAGAGACUUGGGUUCAAGUCCUAGCUCUAUCACUAGCUACGAGGCCAUGGCAAGUCACUUCCUCUCUCUGAGCCCAAGGUUCUCUGUCUCUAAAAUGAGAGCAGGGCUGCAGUACCUCUGAGGGUGCUGGGGUGAGUGCUUCUUUGCCUCUUCCAGCUUCCGGCAGCUGCUGGCAUUCCUUGUGGCUGCAUCACUCCAGUCUCUGCCUUCUGCCUUCACGUAGCUUUCUCCUCUUUCUCUCUGUGUCUCUCUGUGGUCUCUGAUAAGGAUACUUAUCAUUGGAUUUAGGGCCCACCUGGAUCAUCCUGACCAUCUCACCCCAAGAUCCUUAAUACAUUUGCAGAGCCACUGCUCCAAUCCUUGCCACUCAAAGUGAGCUUCAUUGGCCAGCAGCAUCGGCAUCACUUGGGAGUAUAAGUGCAGAACCUCAGACCUGCUCAUGCAGAUUCUGCAUUUUAACAGGACCCAUCCCUCCACCGCCCAGGGGAUUAGUAUGCAAUUCAAANNNNNNNNNNNNNNNNNNNNNNN